CCUACGGGUGGCAGCAGUGAGGAAUAUUGGUCAAUGGUCGCGAGACUGAACCAGCCAAGUAGCGUGAGGGAGGACGGUACUACGGGUUGUAAACUUCUUUUGUCAAGGAAUAAAGUGAGGCACGUGUGCCUUUAUGUGUGUACUUGAUGAAUAAGUAUCGGCUAACUCCGUGCCAGCAGCCGCGGUAAUACGGAGGAUACGAGCGUUAUCCGGAGUUAGUGGGUUGAAAGGGAGAGUAGACGGGUUGUUAAGUCAGUGGUGAAAGUUUGAGGCUCAACCGUCACAUUGCAAUUGAGAAUGGCAGUCUUGAGUACAGUUGAGGUAGCCGGAAUUCGUGGUGUAGCGGUGAAAUGCGUAGAUAUCACGAAGAACUCCGAUUGCGAAGGCAGCUUACUAGCCCGCCACUGACAGUGAUGCUCGAAAGUGUGGGUAUCAAACAGGAUUAGAUACCCGUGUAGUC
rnacentral:rRNA from 1 species